AAAGACUCGUUAUGAAACUCGACGCAUUACCUACGGCGACAAUAAGCCACGACGUGUUGCAGCAUACUCCCCUCAUAUAUCCAUUUACAUUACCAUACAUAUACACCAUUUUUCAAAUCCCUAAAUCGGCGCAAGUUUUUCCUCCCCUUUCUCCAUCCUACAAAUUAAGCUUCAUGGUAUCAUUCUUCUGCUCAAGGGUCGCACGACUCAGCAUCAUGGUAUCAACAAUUGAGCUUCGGAGCUUCGAGCUUCAAGGGUGCUGGUCUAUGGAAUAUGAAUGA